UACGGAAGGGGCAAGCGUUGUUCGGAAUCAUUGGGCGUAAAGGGCGCGUAGGUGGUUCUGUAUGUCUAUCGUGAAAGCGUACGGCUCAACCGUAUUUUGUCGGUAGAAACUGCAGGACUUGAGGCUGGGAGGGGCUGGUGGAAUUCCCUGUGUAGCGGUGAAAUGCAUAGAUAUCGUCCAGAACACCGAUAGUGAAGACAGCUUACCAGAGUUCAACUGACGCUGAGGCACGAAAGUGUGGGGAUCAAACAGG
rnacentral:rRNA from 1 species